AUUGAACGCUGGCGGCAUGCUUUACACAUGCAAGUCGAGCGGCAGCGCGGGCUUCGGCCUGGCGGCGAGUGGCGAACGGGUGAGUAAUGCAUCGGAACGUGCCCAGUAGUGGGGGAUAGCCCGGCGAAAGCCGGAUUAAUACCGCAUACGACCUGAGGGUGAAAGCGGGGGACCGAAAGGCCUCGCGCUAUUGGAGCGGCCGAUGUCGGAUUAGCUAGUUGGUGGGGUAAAGGCUUACCAAGGCGACGAUCCGUAGCUGGUCUGAGAGGACGACCAGCCACAUUGGGACUGAGACACGGCCCAGACUCCUACGGGAGGCAGCAGUGGGGAAUUUUGGACAAUGGGGGCAACCCUGAUCCAGCCAUGCCGCGUGCGGGAAGAAGGCCUUCGGGUUGUAAACCGCUUUUGUUCGGGAAGAAAUCCUCUGGGCUAAUACCCCGGGGGGAUGACGGUACCGGAAGAAUAAGCACCGGCUAACUACGU
rnacentral:rRNA from 1 species